rnacentral:rRNA from 1 species
UCAAAUGAAUUAAGGCGUAGGACGGAUACCUAGGCAUCUAGAGACGAAGAAGGGCGUGGAACCGACGAUACACUUCGGGGAGUUGGAAACAAGCAUAGAUCCGAAGAUUCCCGAAUAGGGCAACCUUUUAUACUUUUUGCUGAAUUCAUAGGCAAAAAAGAGACAACUCAGUGAACUGAAACAUCUUAUUAACUGAAGGAAUAGAAAGCAAACGCGAUUUCCUAAGUAGUGGCGAGCGAAAGGGAAACAGCCUAAACCAAUUUUUAGAAAUUGGGGUUGUGGGAAAACCUAAUAAUAUUAUUAUUUUAUAAUAUGAAAAAAAAAUGGUUAUUUUUUUAAAUUAGACCAAGCAGCUGAAUACUGCGCCAUAGAUGGUGAAAGCCCAGUAGUUAAAAAUUUAAUAAAAGCUAUGUGUUUUUCCCAAGUAAUACGGGACACGUGAAAUCCCGUAUGAAUCCGCGAGGACCACCUCGUAAGGCUAAAUACUCCUAGAUGACCGAUAGUGAAAUAGUACCGUGAGGGAAUGGUGAAAAGAACCCCUGUAGGGGAGUGAAAAAGAGCAUGAAAUCCUACGCUGACAAACAGUGGGAGGUUUUUUUAAACUGACCGCAUGCCUGUUGAAGAAUGAGCCGGCGACUUAGAAAAGGUGGCAUGGUUAAGGAAAUAUUCCGAAGCCGUAGCAAAAGCGAGUCUGAAUAGGGCGAUAAAAUAUAUUAAUAUUUAGAAUCUAGUCAUUUUUUCUAGACCCGAACCCGGGUGAUCUAACCAUGACCAGGAUGAAGCUUGGGUGAUACCAAGUGAAGGUCCGAACCGACCGAUGUUGAAAAAUCGGCGGAUGAGUUGUGGUUAGCGGUGAAAUACCAGUCGAACCCGGAGCUAGCUGGUUCUCCCCGAAAUGCGUUGAGGCGCAGCAGUACAUCUAGUCUAUCUAGGGGUAAAGCACUGUUUCGGUGCGGGCUGUGAGAACGGUACCAAAUCGUGGCAAACUCUGAAUACUAGAAAUGACGAUGUAGUAGUGAGACUGUGGGGGAUAAGCUCCAUUGUCAAGAGGGAAACAGCCCAGACCACCAGCUAAGGCCCCAAAAUGGUAAUGUAGUGACAAAGGAGGUGAAAAUGCAAAUACAACCAGGAGGUUGGCUUAGAAGCAGCCAUCCUUUAAAGAGUGCGUAAUAGCUCACUGGUGCUAGCGUUUUUGCGCCGAAAAUGUCCGGGACUUAAUUACCUGCCGAAGCUGUGGGAUAUUAAUAAAAUUAUUAUAUAUUUAAUUUUUAAUAUAUAUCUAUUGAUAAUUUAUAUCGGUAGGGGAGCGUUCUGCUUUAGGGUGAAGUUUAAGUGUAAAUUUAGAUGGACCAAGCAGAAGUGAGAAUGUCGGCUUGAGUAACGCAAACAUUGGUGAGAAUCCAAUGCCCCGAAAACCUAAGGAUUCCUUUACUAGGUUCGUCCAUGAAGGGUGAGUCAGGACCUAAGGCGAGGCCGAAAGGCGUAGUCGAUGGCAAACAGGUUAAUAUUCCUGUACUAUUUUAUAUUUGAUACCAGGGGACAGAAGAGGUAGCAAUUUGUCGAUAUUGGAUUUCGGUGUAAACUUACAAGGCCGGGGAAAGAAAAAAAACUUAUUCCUAUAUAAAGCUAAGAAGUGAUACAUUUAUAUUUUUUCUAAAAAAUAUAAAUUAAUUUUCUAUCAUAUUCUCAAGAAAAGCCUGUAUUAUCUAUAAAUAUAAAAUACCUGUACCAUAAACCGACACAGGUGGGUAGGUAGAGUAUACUAAGGGGCGCGAGAUAACUCUCUCUAAGGAACUCGGCAAAAUGACCCCGUAACUUCGGAAGAAGGGGUGCCAAGGAGUAAUUUUUUACUUUUUGGCCGCAGUGACCAGGCCCAGGCGACUGUUUAUCAAAAACACAGGUCUCCGCAAAGUCGUAAGACAACAUAUGGGGCUGACGCCUGCCCAGUGCCGGAAGGUUAAAGAAGCGGGUUAUUCUUUUUUAGGAAAAAGCUUGCGACUGAAGCCCCGGUGAACGGCGGCCGUAACUAUAACGGUCCUAAGGUAGCGAAAUUCCUUGUCGGAUAAGUCCCGACCCGCACGAAAGGCGUAACGAUCUGGGCGCUGUCUCGGAGAGAGACUCGGUGAAAUAGACAUGUCUGUGAAGAUGCGGACUACCUGCACCUGGACAGAAAGACCCUAUGAAGCUUGACUGUAGCCUGAAAUUGAAUUUGGGUUUUUUUUGCGCAGUCUAGGUGGGAGGCGUUGAAAAUUUUCUUUUGGGAAAAUUAGAGCCAACAGUGAGAGACCACUCUAGAAAAGCUAGAAUUCUAAUAGUGUUCCUUGAAGCAGGACGCUUGACAGUUUCAGGUGGGCAGUUUGACUGGGGCGGUCAUCUCUUAAAAGGUAACAGAGAUGUGCAAAGGUUCCUUCAGGCUGGACGGAAAUCAGCUGUAGAGUAUAAAGGCAGAAGGGAGCUUGACUGUAAGACCUACAAGUCAAACAGGGGCGAAAGCCGGCCUUAGUGAUCCGACGGUGCCGAGUGGAAGGGCCGUCGCUAAACGGAUAAAAGUUACUCUAGGGAUAACAGGCUGAUCUUCCCCAAGAGUUCACAUCGACGGGAAGGUUUGGCACCUCGAUGUCGGCUCAUCGCAACCUGGGGCGGUAGUACGUCCCAAGGGUUGGGCUGUUCGCCCAUGAAAGCGGUACGUGAGCUGGGUUCAGAACGUCGUGAGACAGUUCGGUCCAUAUCCGGUGUAGGCGUUAGAGCAUUGAGAGGAGUCUUCCAUAGUACGAGAGGACCUGGAAGAACAUACCUCUAGUAUACCAGUUCUUGUGCCAACAGGAAACGCUGGGUAGCUAUGUAUGGAGAAGAUAACCGCUGAAAGCAUCUAAGUGGGAAGCUCACCUCAAGAUGAGUGCCCCCUUUUCUAAUUAAGAAAUAUCGGUCACGGUAAGACUAACCGUUCGAUAGGUAUUAGGUGGAAGUCCAGUAAUGGAUGUAGCUAAAAUAUACUAAUAGACCGAUCGAUUUU